rnacentral:ribozyme from 1 species
UGCGCAGCAACUCCUAUCCCUAUCUCCGCGUGGUACCGGCCGAUGGUCUUCCGAAAAGUAGG